ACCGAAAGUGUAAUGUUUACACGUAAACUCGUCUGUGUGUGUCCCCCACCCGCGUACCAACUCCAUCUCGCGUGGGGGCACAGGGUAGGGAGGAAUAGGAAAGUAAAAGAUACAAAAAGAACUCUGCGUGUUGGGCGCGAAACGUCGAGGCGCCUCGAAAGGAACGCGAAGGAAAAGCAGGGAGAAGGCGCGCAGCCGAGUCCAGUCCGGGGUAUUGCAUCACUGCAGCUCCCCCGCAAGAAAAUGGGCUCCAACCCGCGGCCACCAUCAUGGCGCUCGGCCGGGCCCGCGCUUCCCGCGCGCAUUCCCCGAGCGCUCGCGCCACGGGCACCGAGCCUCCAGCGAGCGUUUGCAAACAUUUCCUCUCCCUCGCGCGCGCGCGCGCCUGUACCCCCACCCCCUCCUUCCUUUUGUGUGCUUGUGUGUGUGCGUGCGUCGGUGUGACUGUGUGUGGACUGGAGAACUUGAAGAUUGUUUUUUUCCUCUUUUUUUUUUCCCCUCCCGUGCUGGUGGUUGUAAACUUGAUUGGCAUUGGCUGCGCCCACUGACCCCUGCGCCGAGUCCACUGAAGAUUUAAGGUGGAUCCGAGAGGCUGCAGCUACAGGCGGAGUCUCGCGCUCGAGCUGGUUUUGGAGGAAAAAAAAACAACCACCCCAAACCGGGCGCCCGCCGUGUUUUUACGCAUCCCCUGCGGUACCAGCCCCCGCGCGCCCCGCCCGCCGCUCGCUUCCUCCGCCGCCCCCACCCCCACCCCGCCCGCUUCUUCCCCAUUGGCCGCUGAGUGCAAUUUGAAUUUUUUUUUUUUCUGGGAUGCUUGUUUUCUUGUGAAAAAUACAGUUCUCCAGAUCGUGUGCCAAAACCGCUGCAGCGGCCCCAGGUGAGGUGUUUAGCUGGUUUUGUGGAGGCGGGAAGGAAGAGGAUAGGUGGAGCUUCUGUUCCAAAAAUUUCCCCCAAAGUGCGGUUGACAGCGUACAGACGGGUGCGGUGCGUGGGACCGCCGUCACCAACCGGGAGACGCUUCGGCGGGGCCAGGGAUGUAGUAUAAACGUUAAUGGAUGUCCAGGGUGCGCGUUUCGCCGGCCGCGGGCCGGAGGUACUGGGGAGGCGCCGGCAGGAGCUCCAGGCGAGGAUGCACCUUCCCCUGCUUGGAAAGGUAGAAUUAGGGAAGGCGGGAGGGUGAAGGUGGCCCGGAAAAGAUCACCUCACUACCAAGGGGGAAAAGGAAGAAGAAAAAAAAAUAGAAGAAAUGCAAAUACAGGGGGAAAAGUGUUAUUUCAGGAGCCACCAAGUCAGGGAUCACAUAAGUCUGGAAGUCGGUGUCAUUUUUACUGAAUUUUUAAAAGAACGUCGUCUGUCUCUCAUUUCCAGAGUAUUUUUAUGGAAGGAGAAGGCUGAAACAAAACUCAAAGAAGGAAUGAUUUUGAAAGUGCCUUUGACUACUGGAUCUGAAAGUUAAUUCUUUUGAUGAAGUACUUUAAGAUUUCGGAUAAUGUUAUUUGUAAAACAGGUCUACUACAUAUGAUAUCCCUCAUUAAUUAUAAACCAACUAUGUUUUACUUUAUGGUGAAAAAUUUAAAGUUCAUCACAAUUUAAAUUAUUCUUCAAAUCAGUUUAUCUCCAGAUUAGUGAAGUUGGCAUAUAAGCAUAUAGGUGUUUUGUUUUUUGUUUUGUUUUGUUUUGUGGAGGAGGGGGAAUUUAAUCUGUUACUCUUGUUGCAAUGUAGUUGACAAUUUGAACCAGAAUUUCAGCCCAGCCUUUAGUCUAACAGUUCCUAUUCAAACCACCCCAUCUAUUUUGUAGUUCUUAAUUCCCCCAAUACUUCCUAGCCCAAUUAACCAACCCCUUAAGGUAAGCCCAACCCAACAAAGUUGCUGAGACCACCAUAUGCCAACCUGCUCGUGCCCUUGGCAAGGAAAUUUUGAGCUAAAAUUACCCCCAAAUAGACUGGCUAGCCUCAGUGAAUUCAUCAUCCCUGGAAGUGUGAGUCAAGCACUAGUCUAAGUGACCCUUCGAUUAGGGACAUUGUAGAAAAUAUUUGACUAUCAAAUGAAUGUUUAGAUUUGUGAUUUUUAAAGUCUAUUCCAGACCCUUGAGAUACUAUAUUUCCAACAUUUGAGUUUCUGGAUUUCUAUUAAAUUAAGCAGUUUUCCUUUCUCAUGACCAUUUUCUUGAGUUGAAUUGUCCAAUAUGGUAGCCAGAAACCAUAUGUGGCUGUUGAGCACUUGAAUGUAGUUAGUCCAAACUGAGCAUUGCUGAAAGUGUGAAAUAUACACCAGGUUUCCAGAAUUAGUAUGAAAAAUAUGUUAAAUAUCUCAAUAAUUUUUUUAAAAAAAUAUUGAUUUCAGAGAGGAAGGGAGAGGGAGAGAUAGAAACAUCAAUAGUGAGAAGGAAUCAUUGAUCAGCUGCCGCCUACACGCCCCCACCCUGAGGAUCAAGCCUGAAACCCAGGCAUGUGCCCAGACCAGGAAUCGAACCUUGACCUCCUAGUUCAUAGGUGGACACUCAACCAUUGAGCCGCACCAACCAGGCAAUAAUUUUUAUAUUGAUUAUAUGUUAAAAUGGUCAAACUUUUGAAUUAUUAGGUUAAAUAAAAAUAUUAAAUUUAAUUUCAUCUUUGUUUUUACUAUUUUUUAGGGUGGUUACUAGACAAUUUUAAUUUACAGAUGUGACUAGCAUUAUAUUGUUGAACAUUGCUGUUCUAGACCAACACUCAUAGUAACAUGAAGCCCCCAUCUUUGAGUUUGGUGGCUGGUAAUACUGAGUAGGUGGUAACUUCCAGCUGCCAUCCUAACUUCCGAAGUUAAAUCAAGGCCCAAACUCAGCCAUUGGAACCUUUAAGAAGAGUGUUACCAACAUCUAACACCUACCACUUAAUCUUUAACACAGUACUGGGUUUGAGCCCAAACCAUGGAAAUAUGGUACAGAUAUGUCUAAUUAAGUCAGAUUUGAUCACAGCUUUCUACAUUUUGUAAAGAGAGAGAAUGGGAAGUCCAAUAUGUUAGGAAUGACUCUGGAAAAAAUGUAGACCCCAAACAAAACUUCCACAAGUAACUUUUCACUACUACUGUUCAGCAGACAGGACAGCGGUAAGAGAAGACGUGAACAAAUGAAAAGGCUGAGUUUUCCCCAGCUUCGUUGACCAGAGAAGCAAGGAGUUUGCGUGUGUGGAAGCCACGACUACCUUUCAAGUUCAGGUGUGGAAUUUUGGAGGAUCAGUAGAGCUCUUAUGAGUCAAUUCUCUGUUCAUGAGUGAAAUUCUGAACCCUUGAGUCCACUGCCCGUUGCCUACUGCCACUCAAUGGCUGUUUCCUAUUGACUGCCUACCACAGAGCCCUCCCAAUAAAUGAAAACAUCUGAUUAUGGGUUUGAAAGGAUGCACAGAAGGACAGUGCAAGAAGAGGUCUAAGUUAGGAAAAGCCAAGAUGGAGUGAGUCACGUGGAAAGAGCAGCCAAAGUGUUCUCAUGGCUCCCAGGUGUCCUCUUACCUCAGUGUCACCAUUGCACGCAGUCAUUGGUCAGGAGCAGCCUUGGGAAGCGUGGCUUUGACCCAAACUGGGUGAUGGGUGGCCGGUGACUUUGGCUUGAGGACUCCCCAGUGGCCUUGCGGAGUUUUCUUUAGAACUGCACUGCAGACUAAGACCAUUUCCCUCUGUCUCCCUCCCUUCCCGUUCUCUUUCACUCAGGGUCAGACCUCCAUGGUGGUCUGACAGUUCUCCCAACCUCUCCUCAUUUCCUCUACAUUUUCCCUAAUAAC